AGUUUGGUGCCUGAAGAAAAGGAUUAUCUCGAUACGGUAAAUUAUGCAAUAGUUUUGCCCAAACUA